AACGCACGAGACCUGCGGACCUGCGGAAGGAUCAUUACUGAGUAACGUGGUCUUUUUUCAUGACCCGCUACCCGCCCUUUGUCAUAUGUUGGACGAGGUCGUCUUUAGGGGCGGCCUCCGACCCCACUUCCCGGGAGGCGUUGCGCCUCAUCAAAGUCUUGAUGAGGAUGGGACCGCCCGGGGUCUUUUUCAAACCCUUUGUGAGAAAUCUGAAGUCUGAAGCGAAAGCUUAAAAAUAAA
rnacentral:misc_RNA from 1 species